rnacentral:rRNA from 1 species
CGGUAGUAUACUACCGAAGCCACGGCAUCAUUAUGAUGGGUAGGGGAGCUUUCUUUACUGGGCAGAAGCAUGACCGUAAGGACAUGUGGACUGUAAAGAAGUGAGAAUGUUGGCAUGAGUAGCGAGAUGUGGGUGAGAAUCCCACAGGCCNNUUCCAGGGGAAGGUUCGUCCUCCCUGGGUUAGUCGGGACCUAAGCCGAGGCCGAAAGGCGUAGGUGAUGGACAACAGGUUGAAAUUCCUGUACCGCCAAUAAGCGUUUGAGAAAUGGGAUGACACAGUAGGACAGGAUGAGCGUGCUGUU